rnacentral:rRNA from 1 species
UACGUAGGGUGCAAGCGUUGUCCGGAAUUAUUGGGCGUAAAGAGCUCGUAGGCGGUCUGUCGCGUCUGCUGUGAAAACUCGGGGCUUAACCCCGGGCCUGCAGUGGGUACGGGCAGACUAGAGUGCGGUAGGGGAGACUGGAAUUCCUGGUGUAGCGGUGAAAUGCGCAGAUAUCAGGAGGAACACCAGCGGCGAAGGCGGUGGUCUGGGCCAAUACUGACGCUGAGGAGCGAAAGCGUGGGGAGCAAACAGG